GGGGAAGCCGGUGCGAAUCCGGCGCUGACCCGCAACCGUGAGCCGUCCUGGGGACGGUGAGCCGGAAUGCCC
rnacentral:ncRNA from 2 species